CAGAAGCCUGUGUCUUAUAUAUGAAGAUCCCCCUACAAUGCGGGAAGGUCUUGGGCGGAUGAUCAAAGACCCAGGUCUAACACUGCCUCCUGUAAAGCUCUCCCUGAAGGCUCCAGCUGUCACCUGUAU